rnacentral:rRNA from 1 species
UACGGAGGGUCCAAGCGUUAUCCGGAAUCAUUGGGUUUAAAGGGUCCGUAGGCGGUUUUGUAAGUCAGUGGUGAAAGCCCAUCGCUCAACGGUGGAACGGCCAUUGAUACUGCAAGACUUGAAUUAUUAGGAAGUAACUAGAAUAUGUAGUGUAGCGGUGAAAUGCUUAGAGAUUACAUGGAAUACCAAUUGCGAAGGCAGGUUACUACUAAUGGAUUGACGCUGAUGGACGAAAGCGUGGGGAUCAAACAGG